rnacentral:lncRNA from 1 species
UCAUCAUCAAAGCACAAUCACCACCAUAUCCAAUCCACACCAAUCCAACAAAACCAAAAGAAUCAUAAUUGAAGAAAGGGAAGGAGACCGCCGCUGCUGAACACUGCCGCUGUUGCAAAACAAAGCACAACCGGAAUCCCGCAUCGCUGCCGCCGUCGCGCACAACCACUGCCGCCGUCGCGCACAACCGCUGCCGGUUCUCUCUCUCGGUUACGCUCCUUCUCUCUCUCGGUUACGCUCCUUCUCUCUCGCCGGUUAUUCUCUCUAUCUCUCACGCGUAUCUGUUUUCAUUCUUUUUACUCUGUUUCUUUUAUCAAUUAUUAUUAUUAUUAUUAUUAUCCUUAUUAUUAUUAUUAUUAUUAUUAUUAUUAUUAUUAUUAUUAUUAUUAUUAUUAUUAUUAUUAUUAUUAUUAUUAUUAUUGUUGUUGUUGUUGUUGUAAUUUUAUCAUAUCUGUUGGAUUGUUUUGGUGGCAUGAGUUUCUAAACAUGUGAUUCACACCCUAAAAUAUGCCAAUAACAACAAAAGACAAUUAAAAAAUACUAUAAUAAUAAGUAUCAUUUUAUGAGAUCAUUUCGAAGUAAAACAUUUUUUUUAAUAAAAUAAAAUUGGAUUGAAAAUGGGACCGGCGGAUGUACAUCCGCUCAUCUCUCAAAUGAUCGAACGCUGGCCAUGCGCCUUGCCUAUCGGUUGUUUGUCUUCCACAACUUAAAAUCAAUCUCAACUCAUCAAACUUCACUCUUUUCGCGUUCAUACACGCUCAAUUUUAUUUUUUUUUCCUCAAACGGGUACCAUCCCCCAGGCACGAGUCUUUCCUUUUUUUUAGUCAAACAAAGUUUUUUUUGCCAAAGCGCAUUAAAAAGUUUUCAUAAAUAAAAUCAACCAACACACAAGCAUUUUCUACCAGAACUACGGGGCUUUGAGUUUCNNNNNNNNNNNNNNNNNNNNNNNNNNNNNNNNNNNNNNNNNNNNNNNNNNNCGACGACCAUCUUUCCUUUUUCUCAAGGUUUUAUCGAUAUUUUCCUUUUCCUUUGGGAAUAAAUAAAGUUCGGUGGCGACUUUACUGUCUAAGCGAGCGAUUACCGCUCGCGCAUUUUUCCACCCGCUUCAAAUUUGUAUCUUAGAGAUACAACAAUAUCAUCCGAUUAUGUGGAAGUUUUAACACUACAUUCAGAAAGUUCAGAGUGUGGUUUUGUUGAAGUUUGUGAUUCUACACAUACAAUAAAUUUGAAGAAGANNNNNNNNNNNNNNNNNNNNNNNNNNNNUUCAGAGAAGAUUAUAUUAAAGAAGAAGAAUCAAAUCUUUCUACAAAGUCAUCAUCAAGUAAAGCUUCUGAUCAACUAUAUUGAAGAUUAAUUGCUCUUAUUCGUCUCAGAUAUAAUAGUCUUCAUGAGGGGGAGAUAUAAUUGUGUUCUACACUCUUUUUCCCUUAACCAUGGUUUUGUCCCAUUGGGUUUUCCUGGUAAGGUUUUUAAUGAGGCAGUUCAAACACAAAGGAUGUUGUACUCUUUUUCCUUCACUAGAAUUUUUUUCCCACGGGGUUUUUUCUAGUAAAUGUUUUAAUGAGGCAUAUCCUCGAUGGACAUCCAAGGGGGAGUGUUAUGAAUAUUAUUUAGUGGAUGUCCUGGCCCAUGUAAUUGGCCCAUUAUGUUUACCUAUAUAUAGAUAUUAUGUAUCACUAUAUUGUAACCCUAACCCUAGUGGUGAAUAACAUACACUAUUCUUUCUCUCUUUUAUCUCUUCUCCAUCAAUACUAUUGCUCCUAUUUACAUUAGUUUAUAACAG